UACGAAGGGGGCGAGCGUUGUUCGGAUUUACUGGGCGUAAAGGGCGCGUAGGCGGCCCUUCAAGUCAGGCGUGAAAGCCCCGGGCUCAACCUGGGAGGUGCGCUUGGGACUGGAGGGCUGGAGUUCGGGAGAGGAGCGUGGAAUUCCCAGUGUAGAGGUGAAAUUCGUAGAUAUCGUAAGGAAGACCAGUGGCGAAGGCGGGUCUCUGGACAGUUCCUGACGCUGAGGCACGAAGGCCAGGGGAGCAAACGGG
rnacentral:rRNA from 1 species